GACGAACGCUGGCGGCGUGCUUAACACAUGCAAGUCGAACGGAAAGGCCCUGCUUUUGUGGGGUGCUCGAGUGGCGAACGGGUGAGUAACACGUGAGUAACCUGCCCUUGACUUUGGGAUAACUUCAGGAAACUGGGGCUAAUACCGGAUAGGAGCUCCUGCUGCAUGGUGGGGGUUGGAAAGUUUCGGCGGUUGGGGAUGGACUCGCGGCUUAUCAGCUUGUUGGUGGGGUAGUGGCUUACCAAGGCUUUGACGGGUAGCCGGCCUGAGAGGGUGACCGGCCACAUUGGGACUGAGAUACGGCCCAGACUCCUACGGGAGGCAGCAGUGGGGAAUAUUGCACAAUGGGCGGAAGCCUGAUGCAGCAACGCCGCGUGCGGGAUGACGGUCUUCGGGUUGUAAACCGCUUUCGCCUGUGACGAAGCGUGAGUGACGGUAAUGGGUAAAGAAGCACCGGCUAACUACGUGCCAGCAGCCGCGGUGAUACGUAGGGUGCGAGCGUUGUCCGGAUUUAUUGGGCGUAAAGGGCUCGUAGGUGGUUGAUCGCGUCGGAAGUGUAAUCUUGGGGCUUAACCCUGAGCGUGCUUUCGAUACGGGUUGACUUGAGGAAGGUAGGGGAGAAUGGAAUUCCUGGUGGAGCGGUGGAAUGCGCAGAUAUCAGGAGGAACACCAGUGGCGAAGGCGGUUCUCUGGGCCUUUCCUGACGCUGAGGAGCGAAAGCGUGGGGAGCGAACAGGCUUAGAUACCCUAGUAGUCCACGCUGUAAACGGUGGGUACUAGGUGUGGGGUCCAUUCCACGGGUUCCGUGCCGUAGCUAACGCUUUAAGUACCCCGCCUGGGGAGUACGGCCGCAAGGCUAAAACUCAGAGGAAUUGACGGGGCCCCGCACAAGCGGCGGAGCAUGCGGAUUAAUUCGAUGCAACGCGUAGAACCUUACCUGGGUUUGACAUGGAUCGGGAGUGCUCAGAGAUGGGUGUGCCUCUUUUGGGGUCGGUUCACAGGUGGUGCAUGGCUGUCGUCAGCUCGUGUCGUGAGAUGUUGGGUUAAGUCCCGCAACGAGCGCAACCCUUGUUCACUGUUGCCAGCACGUUAUGGUGGGGACUCAGUGGAGACCGCCGGGGUCAACUCGGAGGAAGGUGGGGAUGACGUCAAGUCAUCAUGCCCCUUAUGUCCAGGGCUUCACGCAUGCUACAAUGGCUGGUACAGAGAGUGGCGAGCCUGUGAGGGUGAGCGAAUCUCGGAAAGUCGGUCUCAGUUCGGAUUGGGGUCUGCAACUCGACCUCAUGAAGUCGGAGUCGCUAGUAAUCGCAGAUCAGCAACGCUGCGGUGAAUACGUUCCCGGGGCU
rnacentral:rRNA from 1 species